GUCUAUGGCCAUACCACCCCAAACAUACCAGAUCUUGUCUGAUCUCAGAAGCUAAUCAGGGUCAGGCCUGAUUAGUACUUGGAUGGGAGAUAAAUAGAUAGACAGUUAUAGAAA
rnacentral:rRNA from 1 species